UUUUUAUGAUAUUCUCAUAUUCUUGUCAUUCAUAUUUGCUAAUGUGAUUUAUCUAUAUGCCUUUUGGUGUUACUUUGAUGCAUAUAGCGUUGCAUGUAUUCAUACAUCAUGUUAUUGUGCUAUUGUAAAACUUGUUUGUUGCUUGUCAUUCAUUUUUGCUAUGUGCUGUGUCCAUAUGCCUUUUUAUGUUUCUUUGCUAUAUAUGACGUGGCUCUGUACUUAAACGUCCCAUCAUUGUGUUAUUGUACUAUAUAUAGAUGGUAAAUUUGUGUAUUCUUGUCUUUAAAUUUUGCUAAUAUGCUUAGUCUAUAUGCCAUGUUGUGCUUCUUUGUUACAUAUUUGUCAGUU
rnacentral:lncRNA from 1 species